rnacentral:ncRNA from 1 species
UUUCCAUGGCGCCGGCCACUCCACUUUUCUGGUCGGCAGCACAUGAAAAAAGGAGGAUAAACCGCUUGCUCGCGGUGCGGCAGUGUGGAGACCUGUCGUAAAGCACGAGGCCUUGCCCGUGUGAGGACGCAUCCGGCGGAGGCCGUGCGUCCGGAGCAAAACAAAAUGGCG